rnacentral:rRNA from 1 species
AACAAACGCUGGCGGCGUGCCUAAUACAUGCAAGUCGAACGGGGAAAGCUUUCGGGUGAGUACUAGUGGCGCACGGGUGAGGAACGCGUGGAUAAUCUGCCUUAGAGUGGGGGAUAACUAGUCGAAAGAUUAGCUAAUACCGCAUAAGACCACAGGAGCUGCGGCUCUAGGGGUCAAAGGUUUUUCGCUCUAAGAUGAGUCCGCGUAAGAUUAGCUAGUUGGUGAGGUAACGGCUCACCAAGGCGACGAUCUUUAGCUGGUCUGAGAGGAUGAUCAGUCACACUGGAACUGGGACACGGGCCAGACUCCUACGGGAGGCAGCAGUAGGGAAUAGUGCACAAUGGAGGAAACUCUGAUGCAGCGACGCCGCGUGAGUGAUGAAGGCCUUCGGGUCGUAAAGCUCUGUCGCAGGGGAAUAACACAAUGAAUGUACCCUGUAAGAAAGGAUCGGCUAACUUCGUGCCAGCCGCCGCAGUAAUAC